rnacentral:lncRNA from 1 species
CUGUCAUCCAGUCCCUCUCGCCAUGCUCUGAGACUGUCUUGCUCUCUGAGUCCUCCUGGUCCAUGGGCUCGCCCACCCACUGCAGGCCAUAGUCACUGAGGAACCGCUCCAUCUCCCUGACCUGCCGCUGCAGCUGCACACACAUCGUCUCCAGUUCCUCCUGCCGCUGCAGGGUUGCCUCGGCUGGGUGUGGCCGGAGGGUCUGCACCAGGUCCUCUAGGGCCGCUAUCUUCUG